rnacentral:sRNA from 1 species
UACAGGAAUCUCAGGCUGUCGCGGUCCAC